GAUAAAAUGGCUGAAGUUUAGGCGAUAGAUUGUAAAUCUUUUUAUGGAUUAAAGGUCCUUUUAUCA
rnacentral:tRNA from 2 species